rnacentral:lncRNA from 1 species
CUCACAUGUGGUCAAGGCCAACUGUGCUAAGUAACUUGUCUUCUGAGGGUUGCUGUUCUUAAAGGCUGUCAGGAGUUGAGAAUCUGGGGUUGCACUUAGAUCUUUUUAGGGUUUCAUUUACUGAAAUUAAUGGAGCUGUGAAACCUACUGCGAGAGCUUCUGAGUUCAGAUGCCUUCCACAGGCUAUAAACUCAAAGACAACUCAUAGGUUUAAAUUGCAUCUCGAGCUGUCAGCAACUGGGAUGGACCAUCCGAGAGAGAGAGAGAGGAGAAUCAGAGUCACCUGAGAGUUGGAGAGACCUGCAGAGCUGUUGACGAACUCCUGGCUUCACCUUUGCCCUUGGUGUUUGUCCACCUCUUCCCUGCCCCAGUCCACCUAUGUGAGGCAGCCUUUUUAUAGCUUGACUUUGGUCACAUUGGGAAUAUUUACACCAUGGAAAUCGCAAAUGCUUCAAAUCAAGGUAUUUUUUAUUUGUUUUUUCUGUUCUGUUUUGGUUUUUAAAGAGUUCGUUUAUGAGCACACCUCUGAACUCACGAUUUAAAUAAAAAUUGGCACUAGUUUGUGUGAACUUGAGAAUGUGAUUCAACCUAUUAACUAUCACUGUACACAACUGAGAAAACAUAAUAGGUCUAGAUAAGAGAAUGGAAAUUAUACAUAAUUCAAAGAAAAUUAUAUUUAACAUUUUGAGUCAUUUCUUCCAUGCUAUGCAUUUUGUUUAAAUAUUUGAGAUUAUAC